rfam:Myotis lucifugus cont2.57026, whole genome shotgun sequence.
UACCUGGUUGACCCUGCCAGUAGCAUGUGCUUGUCUCAAAGAUUAAGCCAUGCAUGUCUAAGUACGCACGCCGGUCCAGUGAAACUGCGAAUGGCUCAUUAAAUCAGUUAUGGUUCCUUUGGUCGCUCGCUCCUCUCCUACUUGGCCUACUGUGGUAAUUCUAGAGCUAAUACAUGGUGACGGGGGCUGAUCCCCCUGGGGGGAAUGCGUGCAUUUAUCAGAUCAAAACCAACCCGAACAGCCUCCCCUCAAUCCCUCGCUGGCCGAGGGGGUGGGUGCUGGCGGCUUGGGUGACUCUAGAUAACCUCUGGCCGAUUGCAUGCCCCCCGUGGUGGCGACGACCCAUUUGGAAGUCUGCCUUAUCAACUUUCGAUGGUAGUCGCCAUGCCUACCAUGGUGACCACAAGUGACGGGGAAUCAGGGUUUGAUUCUAGAGAGGGAGCCUGAGAAACAGCUACCACAUCCAAGGAAGGCAGCAGGCGUGCAAAUUACCCACUCCCGACCUGGGGAGGUAGUGACGAAAAAUAGCCAUACAGGAGUCUUUCGAGGCCCUGUAAUUGGAAUGAGUCCACUUUAAACCCUUUAGUGAGGAUCCAUUGGAGGACAAGUCUGGUGUCAGCAGCCACGGUAAUUCCAGCUCCAAUAGGGUAUAUUAGAGUUGCUGCAGUUAAAAAGUUCGUAGUUGGAUCUUGAGAGCGGUUGGGCGGUCUACCGCGAGGCGAGCCACCGCCCGUCCCCACCCCUUUUCUCUUGGCACCCCCUCGAUGCUCUUAGCUGAGUGUCCCUCAGGGCCCGAAGUGUUUACUUUGAAAAAGAGUGUUCAAUGCAGGCCCGAGCUGCCUGGAUACACAACUAGGAAUAAUGGAAUAAGACCUCGGUUCUAUUUUGUUGGUUUUCGGAACUGAGGCCAUGAUUAAGAGGGACUCCCAGGGGCAUUCAUAUUGCGCCGUUGGAGGUGAAAUUCUUGGACCGGUGUAAGACAGACCAGAGCAAAGGCAUUUGCCAAGAAUGUUUUCAUUAAUCAAGAAUGAAAGAUGGAUGUUCGAAGAUGAUCAGAUACCAUCAUAGUUCCAAACAUAAAGGAUGCCGACUGGGUUAUUCCCGUGACCCGCCGGGCAGCUUCUGGGAAACCAAAGUCUUUGGGUUCCGGGGGGAGUAUGGUUGCAAUGCUUAAACUUAAAGGAAUUGACAGAAGGGCACCACCAGGAGUGGAGCCUGUGGCUUAAUUUGACUCAACACGGGAAACCUCACCCGGUCCGGACGCAGACAGGAUUGACAGAUUGAGAGCUCUUUCUCGAUUCCGUGGGUGGUGGUGCAUGGCCGUUCUUAGUUGGUGGAGCGAUUUGUCUGGUUAAUUCUGGUAACGAACGAGAAUCUGGCAUGCUAGCUAACUAGUUAUGCAACCCCAACUUAGAGGCGUCCCCCAACUUAGAGGGACAAGUGGCAUUCAGCCACCCGAGAUUGAGCAAUAAGAGGUCUGUGAUGCCCUUAGAUGUCCAGGGCUGCAUGGCGCUACACUGACUGGCUCAGCGUGUGCCUACCCUACGCUGGCAGGCGGGGGUAACCUGUUGAACCCCAUUUGUGAUGGGGAUCGGGGAUUGCAAUUAUUCCCCAUGAAUGAGGAAUUCCCAAUAAGUGUGGGACAUAAGCUUUCGUUGAUUAAGUCCCUGCCCUUUGUACACUCCACCUGUCGCUACUACCGAUUGGAUGGUUUAGUGAGGCCCUCGGGUGGGCCCCGCCGGGGUGGGCCCACCGCCCUGGUGGAGCACUGAGAAGGCCGUCGAAUUUGACUAUCUAGAGGAAGUAAAAGUCGAACAAGGUUUCCAUAGGUUAACCUGUGGAAGGAUCAUUA